GUUUUAAUAAUUUAAAUAAAAUAUUGAUUUUGUAAAUCAAACUUGAAUGAUAAUUCUUAAAACA
rnacentral:tRNA from 1 species